rnacentral:misc_RNA from 1 species
CCUUCAAUGCAGAAGAGUUGAGGUGGUUGAGUAUCUCGCCCCUCAAUUCUCGCUGUAUUUUUACCCUUGUUUUUCUCAUACUAUUAUUUCCUCGGCAGGCCAGCCUGCCGGGUGAAACACUUCAAACCUGUUUAAUUUUCAAUCAGCGUCUGAACAAAUUAAUAAUUA